rnacentral:rRNA from 1 species
GAAUCCCGUGAACCAUCGAGUCUUUGAACGCAAGUUGCGCCCCAAGCCUUCUGGCCGAGGGCACGUCUGCCUGGGUGUCACAAAUCGUCGUUCCCCCUCAUCCUUCAAGGAUUCGGGACGGAAGCUGAUCUCCCGUGUGUUACCGCACGCGGUUGAUCGAAAUCCGAGCCAAGGAUGCCUUGAGCGUCCCGACAUGCGGUGGUGAACUCGUUCAACUCUCCCUAUCGUCGGUCGCUCUUGUCCGGAAGCUCUAGAUGACCCAAAGUCUUCAAUGCGACCCCAGGUCAGGCGGGAUCACCCGCUGAGUUUAAGCAUAUCAAUAAGCGGAGGAAAAGAAACUAACAAGGAUUCCCUUAGUAACGGCGAGCGAACCGGGAAGAGCCCAGCUUGAAAAUCGGACGUCUUCGGCGUUCGAAU